rnacentral:rRNA from 1 species
GAUGAACGCUGGCGGCGUGCCUAAUACAUGCAAGUCGAGCGAACGGACAAGAAGCUUGCUUCUCUGAUGUUAGCGGCGGACGGGUGAGUAACACGUGGAUAACCUACCUAUAAGACUGGGAUAACUUCGGGAAACCGGAGCUAAUACCGGAUAAUAUUUUGAACCGCAUGGUUCAAAAGUGAAAGACGGUCUUGCUGUCACUUAUAGAUGGAUCCGCGCUGCAUUAGCUAGUUGGUAAGGUAACGGCUUACCAAGGCAACGAUGCAUAGCCGACCUGAGAGGGUGAUCGGCCACACUGGAACUGAGACGCGGUCCAUACUCCUACGGGAGGCAGCAGUAGGGAAUCUUCCGCAAUGGGCGAAAGCCUGACGGAGCAACGCCGCGUGAGUGAUGAAGGUCUUCGGAUCGUAAAACUCUGUUAUUAGGGAAGAACAUAUGUGUAAGUAACUGUGCACAUCUUGACGGUACCUAAUCAGAAAGCCACGGCUAACUACGUG